rnacentral:rRNA from 1 species
CAGCAGCCGCGGUAAUACGUAGGUGGCAAGCGUUGUCCGGAAUUAUUGGGCGUAAAGGGCUCGCAGGCGGUUUCUUAAGUCUGAUGUGAAAGCCUCCGGCUCAACCGGGGAGGGUCAUUGGAAACUGGGAAACUUGAGUGCAGAAGAGGAGAGUGGAAUUCCACGUGUAGCGGUGAAAUGCGUAGAGAUGUGGAGGAACACCAGUGGCGAAGGCGACUCUCUGGUCUGUAACUGACGCUGAGGAGCGAAAGCGUGGGGAGCGAACAGGAUUAGAUACCCGUGUAGUCCCUGUCUCUUAUAC